GGACGAACGCUGGCGGCGUGCCUAAUACAUGCAAGUAGAACGCUGAAGAGAGGGGCUUACUCUUCUUGGAUGAGUUGCGAACGGGUGAGUAACGCGUAGGUAACCUGCCUUGUAGCGGGGGAUAACUAUUGGAAACGAUAGCUAAUACCGCAUAACAAUGGAUGACACAUGUCAUUUAUUUGAAAGGGGCAAUUGCUCCACUACAAGAUGGACCUGCGUUGUAUUAGCUAGUAGGUGAGGUAAUGGCUCACCUAGGCGACGAUACAUAGCCGACCUGAGAGGGUGAUCGGCCACACUGGGACUGAGACACGGCCCAGACUCCUACGGGAGGCAGCAGUAGGGAAUCUUCGGCAAUGGGGGCAACCCUGACCGAGCAACGCCGCGUGAGUGAAGAAGGGUUUCGGAUCGUAAAGCUCUGUUGUAAGUCAAGAACGGGUGUGAGAGUGGAAAGUUCACACUGUGACGGUAGCUUACCAGAAAGGGACGGCUAACUACGUG
rnacentral:rRNA from 1 species